GACGAACGCUGGCGGCGUGCUUAACACAUGCAAGUCGAACGAUGAAGCUGGAGCUUGCUCUAGCGGAUUAGUGGCAAACGGGUGAGUAACACGUGAGCAAUCUGCCCUUGACUCUGGGAUAACUGCGGGAAACUGUAGCUAAUACCGGAUACUUUCACCGGGGGGCAUCCUCUGGUGAUGAAAGAAUUUCGGUCAAGGAUGAGCUCGCGGCCUAUCAGCUUGUUGGUGAGGUAACGGCUCACCAAGGCGACGACGGGUAACCGGCCUGAGAGGGUGACCGGUCACACUGGGACUGAGACACGGCCCAGACUCCAACGGGAGGCAGCAGUGGGGAAUAUUGCACAAUGGGCGCAAGCCUGAUGCAGCAACGCCGCGUGAGGGAUGAAGGCCUUCGGGUUGUAAACCUCUUCUAGCAGGGAAGAAGCGAAAGUGACGGUACCUGCAGAAAAAGCACCGGCUAACUACGUGCCAGCCGCCGCGGUAA
rnacentral:rRNA from 1 species